CCUACGGGGGGCAGCAGUAGGGAAUAUUGCUCAAUGGGGGAAACCCUGAAGCAGCAACGCCGCGUGGAGGAUGAAGGUUUUCGGAUUGUAAACUCCUUUUGUUAGAGAAGAUAAUGACGGUAUCUAACGAAUAAGCACCGGCUAACUCCGUGCCAGCAGCCGCGGUAAUACGGAGGGUGCAAGCGUUACACGGAAUCACUGGGCGUAAAGAGGGCGGAGGCGGGAUAGCAAGUCAGAUGUGAAAUCCUAUGGCUUAACCAUAGAACUGCAUUUGAAACUGUUAUUCUAGAGUAUGGGAGAGGUAGGUGGAAUUCUUGGUGUAGGGGUAAAAUCCGUAGAGAUCAAGAAGAAUACUCAUUGCGAAGGCGACCUGCUAGAACAUAACUGACGCUGAUGCGCGAAAGCGUGGGGAGCAAACAGGAUUAGAUACCCUUGUAGUC
rnacentral:rRNA from 1 species